CAUGAAACCAAAAUUCAACAUGUUUGAAGCUGAAGGAUGACUUGGCCAAGAAGAAGAAAGGGCCGCAGGGCUGACGUUCAAUGCAUAAGACUCCAGAGGAUAGUAAUAACCAGAAGAAGCAGACUGUGCAGACUGAUUAAGAAUUUCAAAUUAUACCUGGACCGGACCACUUCCUCAUUCAACUGGAUGAAAAAGCGAACCCUUUUGUGGGAGUUAAGAUGUGUAUGCCGGUAAGAGAUAACGACACUUCUAAAUAAUGGCCUAUUGUCUUCUCUUGGACCCAGGACC